AUCGCCUCUCGGGCCUUUUGGCUAAAAUUAAGUGUAGUAUCUGUUCUUAUCAGUUUAAUAUCACUCAGCAUUCCAAAGCAAUGUGGAUGAACAAUAAUGCUGUGGUCGUUGAGACUCAUA
rnacentral:snRNA from 1 species